CUUGGUCANUUAGAGGAAGUAAAAGUCGUAACAAGGUUUCCGUAGGUGAACCUGCGGAAGGAUCAUUAACCUUUCAAAUCAGGGUGCGGCGCGGCCCCCGAGGAGCGGAAACAAUCCUUGGGAGGUAUGCGGGGGCUUCGAGCCCCCCAUUUACGCACGCACGACUGCCAUCCUUACUUUACGAGCACCUUCUGUUCUCCCUCGGCGGGGCAACCUGCCGUUGGAACCGAAUAAACUCUUUUUGCAUCUAGCAUUACCUGUUCCGAAACAAACAAUCGUUACAACUUUCAACAAUGGAUCUCUUGGCUCUGGCAUCGAUGAAGAACGCAGCGAAAUGCGAUAAGUAGUGUGAAUUGCAGAAUUCAGUGAAUCAUCGAAUCUUUGAACGCACAUUGCGCCCCUCGGUAUUCCGUGGGGCAUGCCUGUUCGAGCGUCAUCUACACCCUCAAGCUCUGCUUGGUGUUGGGCGUCUGUCCCGCCUCCGCGCGUGGACUCGCCCCAAAUUCAUUGGCAGCGGUCCUUGCCUCCUCUCGCGCAGCACAUUGCGCUUCUCGAGGGGCUACGGCUCGCGUCCAACAAGCACAUUUACCGUCUUUGACCUCGGAUCAGGUAGGGAUACCCGCUGAACUUAAGCAUAUCAAUAAGCGGAGGA
rnacentral:rRNA from 1 species